rnacentral:rRNA from 1 species
CGAACGGGGCGAUUGAAAGCUUGCUUUUAAAAGCCUAGUGGCAAACGGGUGAGUAACGCGUAGGCAACCUACCUCUAAGAUGGGGACAGCAGAGCGAAAGUUCUGCUAAUACCGAAUGUUGUAAUCUAUCCGCAUGAAUGGAUUAUUAAAGAUGGCCUCUAUUUAUAAGCUAUCACUUAGAGAUGGGCCUGCGUCUGAUUAGCUAGUUGGUGAGGUAACGGCUUACCAAGGCGACGAUCAGUAGCCGGUCUGAGAGGAUGAAGCGACGAUCAGUAGCCGGACUGAGAGGUCGAUCGGCCCACAUUCCUACUGGAGACAGCAGUGGGGAAUCUUACGGAAUGCAGCAGUAAGCCUUACGGAGCAACGCCGCGUGAGCCUGACCCAGCAACGUCGUCGUGAUCGUAGAAGCUCUCUCGGCGGGUACGAACGGUAUAUGUAUCAAUGAUAUGUAGAAAGUGACGGUACCUGAAGAGGAAGCCACGGCUAACUACGUGCCAGCAGACCGCGGUAAUACGUAGGUGGCUAGCGUUGUCCGGAAUUACUCGGGCGUAAAGGGAGCGUAGGCGGGAAGGCAGGUCAGAUGUGAAAUGUGCGGGGCUCAAACCCCGGAAGUGCAUCUGAAACCACUUUUCUUGAGUAUCGGAGAGGCAGGCGGAAUUCCUAGUGUAGCGGUGAAAUGCAUAGAUAUUAGGAAGAACACCAGUGGCGGAGGCGGCCUGCUGGACGGCAACUGACGCUGAGGCGCGAAAGCGUGGGGAGCAAACAGGAUUAGAUACCCUGGUAGUCCACGCCGUAAACGAUGGAUACUAGGUGUGGGGAGUAUUGAUCCUCUCCGUGCCGCCGUUAACACAGUAAGUAUCCCACCUGGGGAGUACGACCGCAAGGUUGAAACUCAAAGGAAUUGACGGGGGUCCGCACAAGCAGUGGAUUAUGUGGUUUAAUCCGACGCAACGCGAAGAACCUUACCAGGGCUUGACAUCCUACUAACGAAGCAGAGAUGCAUUAGUGCCCUUCGGGAAAGAGACC